GUGUUCCAGGAACCCAGAGGUUGCCAGGUCGACCAAUGUGUUAAGAAAACGAGUCAUAUUAUGCGUCGUCCUGGACUGGUUAGCUGCGGCUCCGGCUUGACAACACAGCUCCAGUUUUUACACAGCGCCGACCCAGUGAACUGUGAGAGGUGCCAGCGCUCUCCUUGGGGAACAUCUCUCAAUACAUCCUUUAGCGCCCGGGGAACCCCACACCAGCCACAAGUGUCCCGCCAGCAACACCUACUGAACCACUCACCUGCCACAGGUCUUGGUCAGUAUCACCUCCUCUCAAGCAGUCGUCAACACCUUCACCUCUCCUGCAGAAGCCACGAUGAAGUUCUUGCUGUUCUCAGCUCUGUUGUUGACGAUUGUUGUGGUGGGAACAAUUUCUAAGCGCACACUCUAUCCUGGGUGACGUGGGGCAGCAGUGAUACUGAAGACGACAGUUUACCUAGGGCAAGCCACGAACUCUCUGCUUGGUCCUGGAAGACGACCACGAGAGGCUGUCCGGAUCCCAAUUCGUA
rnacentral:misc_RNA from 1 species